CUUGGUUCAUCAUUGAAUUGAUUACUAUUUUUUCUAGGGCUGCCAUUGAAAAGCAGAUACAACUUUUAUCCCGUGAGAUCUGUUUCUCUAAAGACACUAUCUCACUAAGCUACACUGCUCUUAUGUACAUUAUGUGAGAAAAUAUGUGCAAAGAACUUAGCAAAGAUAUUUUGAGAAGCUUAACCCACACUUUUCAGGCUUUUCUUCUGAAAAGGGCUCAUCUCCUCACGUUUGGUGUUUUCCAUUCAGUUUCUGGUCUCUCUGCUCGCAUUAAAAAUAUAGGGGACCAGGACUGUUCUCCUUAGUUGCCCCCUACCCCUAAACUAAGAAACUGCAAUGGUCAUAAACCUUGUAGGUCAGGAUAUAAAUAAAAAAAAAUAUGAGCCCACCAGAAGCGGGAGAAGAAAGUCUGGAGGACUGUAUGUCUAAUUCCAUCUCCUGUGUCUGCCUGCUCUGCAAAUCCUCCUUUUUCCCUUCCAGUACAUCUCAAAAUUGAAAAUCAGACUAUGGAUGCUUGAACUAGUGGCUAGAAAGAGUGAAUAUGUUAAUAUUUUAUGGGGAAUUUUUAAAUAAAGUGAACAGUAUGCAUUCCUACCGGUAUUCUUACCAGAAGCCCACUGCAGAUACUACUAUCAGAAAUAGAAAAUAAGGAUCUUUUAUUGUUUGAUAUUGAAUAGCCAACUGAUAAUUUAUUGGCAUUUUACUUAUUCUGUGGAGACACCUACUCAUGCAAAUCGUGGGUUAAUAAUUUGCAUCAGUUUUCUGUGGUGGUUCAUUCUGUCUCUGUGGGGAUGGGAACAAUGUGUUGAUCCCUGCAAGUAAGAAGUGGUUUUGUGUAACAGACAAGGGGAGCCAGAUCUUCUGGGUCCCAACAUCACUCUGCCGACUGGCCGUGUACCAGAUGUGUGAUUUGAGCAAGUGACUGUACCGCCCCGUGCUUUAUUUGCCCCAUGAGUCAAAUACGUUUCAAGAUAACCCAAAGACCUUAUAGGUAGUAUGGUUUAGAGGAGCUAAUAUAUGCAAAGCACUGAGAACACUGAUAGAGAACUCACACUCACACAUGCGCGUGCACGUACAAACACACACACACGACAUUAGCUCUUCUGGUCUUGGCUGGUCCUCUCUCUUCUUUUACAGGCAGAAUCAGAGUUGCCCAAUAUGGCGGGCCCAUCUAACCCAGAGUUUUAUCCUGAUGACAUCGCGUUGGUAGAAUCAUUUUCCCCACACCUCCCAACAAAAGGGACAAUUUACCCCAGAUAUCCUACUGUUCACUUAGAGAGUUGCAGUCCUUAAACUUUUCGGUGGGGUCUCACAGUUCAGUUUAAAAACUAUAGACUUCUUGUCUUUGGCUUGUCACUCACUUUAAGUCCUCUAAGAUUGCAUUUCUGUGGCUGUACAAUGGACCAAUCAUAGUUAUACCGCAGAGCUGCUGUCUUGAGUAAAUGGGAUCAUAAUGGAACAUGGUGAUGCGCUCUCUCAGCCUGAAGCAUGCCCACUCAGAGAACUCUCCGUGGCACAGCCGUAGCGCCCUCAGUUCCCAGACAAGAUUUUAAUUCGUGGGGAUAUAGGGUCAAAUAAAGCUUUGGAAGCACACCUCCUGGGGUCAGCUGGAAAGUAAUGUGCAAGCAUGAUGCAGGAUGAGCUCCUGGAAAGCUCAGGAAAUACUGCAGAGGAGUUGAUCUCAAUACUUUUCCUUACUUCAGUGGAAACAGAUACCUGGGACUGCUCCACUUUAGAUAACGCAAGUCCAACUGUGAAUAAAAGGAGAGAAUUUCCAGUGAGCUUUGGAUAAUAUAAGAAACAUCAAAGAAUUUCUCUGUUCACUCGUGUAAAAGAAAUGGUCAGGGAGUGACUCACGAGCCCACAAGGAGAAGAAGGUGAAUGCUUCCAGCAGUGACAUCUUGGCUGCCAGGCUAUGUGCUCGAGGAAAAGAUUCCACAUAUAAAUGAUCACGCAGAGUAUUUGUCUUUGUCUGUCUGACUUAUUUCACUGGAAGUUACUUUAAAAAAAAAAUCCCUCACCAAAUCUGAGAAAUAGAGUAACAAAUUUAUAUUCCGAGAGUGAAAAGCAGAUAAAUAUUUGAAGCCGGCCGUCCUGUCUGCCCAGGCUGAGUGUCCAAAAAGGAUGAGGAGGAGACAGGGAAGAGGAACAGGAGGAGGAGCAAGGAGCCUCCCAGGGUGUUAGCAGAGGAAACACGUUCCUCUGCUGGGUCAAUUGUAUAAAAAGGAAUGGCCACACCCACCUUCAUCUUUUGAUUCCUGGACAUAAACCUUCUGACUGUGAGUUGGAUGUCACCUGUAUCUGGUCACUGGAGGAGAAUGCAGCCAAUCCAAGGCCACCUGUCAGGGAGGGAACUUGCCCUGACCUCAGUCUCCUCCCGCCUCCCAGUCCCCUGCUGAUGCUUCCACUGACUGCUCCCAGACAGCAACCAGGGAUGAGACCACUGGUCAUUAAUCAUGCAUGUCUGACUCACUCGUAAGAUGUGAGAAAUCCGUGCCCCCACAGAAGGGGACUCACAGAGUCUAAGCUGAAGGUCUGUCCCUCCCCGCCGGCUCUCCCAGUGAAGACCACCUAAGGCUGACUCUCUAGCAGCUUUUUCCAUGAACGGUGGUGGAUCAUGUUCUCAGGCACUGAGCGCCAAGCCACCCUGCAGAUGGAGAGCCUCCUGUGCAAUGAAGUGUGCAGUUCUGCUUGAGACGACCUCCUGACUGCAUCUGCACCUGGACAAAACAGAAGUAAAGAAAGCAAAACCGCCAUGCCCCACGCUAAUGAGAAGACUGCAUAUUUUUGGCACUGUCUGUACUACUUGGUGUCUGUACCACUUAAGAAAAAAGAGUCAUUCCAGCCCAAUGAGCCACCCUGGAAACCCUGAGCAUUAACACUGUCUCUCACUUGGCAGACAGGAUCAGCGGGAAUCAGGAGAGAAAACAAGAUUUCGUUUUGUAAAAGAAGCAAAAGUUGUUAGAGGAGAGAGGAGAAAAAGUAGUCAAGACAGAGCCCAUUACAGGCAUUCUUUUUUGGGGGAGAGGGGUAAUUAUGUCUAUUUAUUUAUUUAUUUGGAGGUACUGGGGAUUGAACCUGGGACCUCCUGCAUGCUAGGCAGGCAUUCUACCACUGAGCUGUACCCUCCUUCACUAUAAGCACUUCUAAUCAUCAAGUUUCACUUGCUGUCUCUAAGCUCUCAAUAAUAUGCCAAGGUAUUUUUAAUAUUGUGAAAUGUGUGAAUUCUUUUUAAAAAU